CGGCGGACGGGUGAGUAACACGUGGAUAACCUACCUAUAAGACUGGGAUAACUUCGGGAAACCGGAGCUAAUACCGGAUAAUAUAUUGAACCGCAUUGUUCAAUAGUGAAAGACGGUUUUGCUGUCACUUAUAGAUGGAUCCGCGCCGCAUUAGCUAGUUGGUAAGGUAACGGCUUACCAAGGCAACGAUGCGUAGCCGACCUGAGAGGGUGAUCGGCCACACUGGAACUGAGACACGGUCCAGACUCCUACGGGAGGCAGCAGCC
rnacentral:rRNA from 1 species